AGAGUUUGAUCCUGGCUCAGGAUGAACGCUGGCGGCGUGCCUAACACAUGCAAGUCGAACGGAACCUUCGUAAGAGGGUUGAGUGGCGCACGGGUGAGGAACACGUAGCUGACCUGCCUUCCAGCGGGGGAUAACGUCCCGAAAGGGAUGCUAAGACCGCAUAAGCUCACAGGGCUUAGAAACCUGCGAGAAAAAGCUUCGGCUACUGGAAGAGGGGGCUGCGGCCCAUCAUGUAGUUGGCGGGGUAACGGCCCACCAAGCCGACGACGGGUCGGGGAUCUGAGAGGAUGAUCCCCCACACUGGGACUGAGACACGGCCCAGACUCCUACGGGAGGCAGCAGUGAGGGAUAUUGCACAAUGGGCGAAAGCCUGAUGCAGCGACGCCGCGUGGGUGAUGAAGGUCUUCGGAUCGUAAAGCCCUUUUCUGCGUGACGAAAACAGACGGUAGCGCAGGAAUAAGUCUCGGCUAACUACGUGCCAGCAGCCGCGGUAAAACGUAGGAGGCAAGCGUUAUCCGGAGUUACUGGGCGUAAAGCGUGUGUAGGUGGUUAUUCAAGUUCGGUGUGAAAGCGCCCGGCUCAACUGGGCGAGGACAUCGAAGACUGAAUGGCUAGAGGAUGGUAGAGGGGCGUAGAAUUCCGGGUGUAGCGGUGAAAUGUGUAGAGAUCCGGAGGAAUACCAGUGGUGCAGACGGCGCCCUGGGCCAUACCUGACACUGAGACACGAAAGCGUGGGGAGCGAACGGGAUUAGAGACCCCGGUAGUCCACGCCGUAAACGAUGCGAACCAGGUGCGCACUUGUCGCAAGGCAAGGGCGUGCCGCAGCUAACGCCAUAAGUUCGCCGCCUGGGGAGUACGGUCGCAAGGCUAAAACUCAAAGGAAUUGACGGGGGCCCGCACAAGCGGCGGAGCAUGCGGAUUAAUUCGAUGCAACGCGAAGAACCUUACCAAGGCUUGACAUAUGCCUGAAAAGGCUGGAAACAGUCUCCCCGCAUGGCAGGUAUGCAGGUGGUUCAUGGUUGUCGUCAGCUCGUGUCGUGAGAUGUUGGGUUAAGUCCCGCAACGAGCGCAACCCUCGUUCUAUGUUGCCAGCACGUAAUGGUGGGAACUCAUAGGAGACUGCCGGGGUCAACUCGGAGGAAGGUGGGGAUGACGUCAAAUCAUCAUGCCCCUUAUGUCUUGGGCUUCACGCAUGCUACAAUGGCCGGUACAAAGGGCUGCAAUACCGUAAGGUGGAGCGAAUCCCAAAAAGCCGGUCUCAGUUCGGAUUGAGGUCUGCAACUCGACCUCAUGAAGUCGGAGUCGCUAGUAAUCGUGGAUCAGCAACGCCACGGUGAAUACGUUCCCGGGCCUUGUACACACCGCCCGUCAAGUCAUGAAAGUCGGUAACACCCGAAGCCAGUGGCCCAACCGCAAGGAGGGAGCUGUCGAAGGUGGGAUCGGUGAUUAGGACUAAGUCGUAACAAGGUAGCCGUACCGGAAGGUGCGGCUG
rnacentral:rRNA from 1 species